rnacentral:rRNA from 1 species
GACGAACGCUGGCGGCGUGCUUAACACAUGCAAGUCGAACGAAGAACCUUCCUUCGGGAGGGGGACGAGUGGCGAACGGGUGAGUAACACGUGGGCAACCUGCCCCUCGCUCUGGGAUAACCCCGGGAAACCGGGGCUAAUACCAGAUAUUCAACUUCACAGGCAUCUGCGAAGUUGGAAAGGAUACUGGCGAGGGAUGGGCCCGCGGCCUAUCAGCUGGUUGGUGGGGUAAUGGCCUACCAAGGCGACGACGGGUAACCGGCCUGAGAGGGCGACCGGUAACACUGGGACUGAGACACGGCCCAGACUCCUACGGGAGGCAGCAGUGGGGAAUAUUGCGCAAUGGGCGAAAGCCUGACGCAGCAACGCCGCGUGAGGGAUGAAGUACGUCGAGAUGUAAACCUCUUUCAGCAGGGACGAAGCGAAAGUGACGGUACCUGCAGAAGAAGCGCCGGCUAACUACGUGCCAGCAGCCGCCGUAACAC